AAUUACACCAUCAUCAAACUAUCUCAUAAUAUCAUUAGUGACCUAAAUUAAAGCAAGAUAAUUGCCCCAGAAGACAACAAACCGUCAUGGAGAAUACUAAUAACGCCGAGAGCCCAUUCCAGCACUCUGCCAGGAGGUCCUUCUCGUUAAAGUAAUAACAGCAGAAAUGGGACCCUUAAAGCCUGCUGAUUUUUGACUAAGUCGUUGUCAAGGGUAAUCUGGGGCAUUUUAAAUAAGUCAUGGCUUUUAUGAAAGACGAAAAUGAUGUGAUAUCGAAAGAAUGACUUACAGGAAGUGAACCUCUAUGCAACACCAUUCACAGUUGACCAGAUGGUUUGGGAAAUGUGAUCUCAUUGAGAGGAGGACUAUCCAGUUAUUUUAAUGGCAAGCAUGACAAAGGCUGCAGUUGGCCACCACCGUGAAUGGCAUUUGGUAGUAAAUGGAUUAGAUAGCAUGGAGGACCAGAAAGACCAUGAGCAGUUCAGCAUGGAAACUAUGUUGAAUCCUUCUUGUGUGCCACUCUCCAUCCUUCUCUCCUGCUCUUGGAAGUCACUUCUCAAUAAGGAUCCUGCAUACAUGUAUUUAUCUCAGGCUCCAUUGCCUCUUUUAUUUUUUUCUGGGGUGAAGUUUCUGGAACAGAAGUGGGAU
ensembl:lincRNA